UACGUAGGGUCCGAGCGUUGUCCGGAAUUACUGGGGCGUAAAGAGCUCGUAGGUGGUUUGUCGCGUUGUCCGUGAAAACUCACAGCUCAACUGUGGGCGUGCGGGCGAUACGGGCAGACUGGAGUACUGCAGGGGAGACUGGAAUUCCUGGUGUAGCGGUGGAAUGCGCAGAUAUCAGGAGGAACACCGGUGGCGAAGGCGGGUCUCUGGGCAGUAACUGACGCUGAGGAGCGAAAGCGUGGGGAGCGAACAGG
rnacentral:rRNA from 1 species